rnacentral:lncRNA from 1 species
UUUCCCUCUUUGUCACCCAGGCUGGAGUGCAAUGGCGCGAUCUUGGCUCACUGUAACCUCUGCCUCCUGGGUUCAAGCAAUUCUCCUGUCUCAGCCUCCUGAAGUACUGCCUGCCACCACACCCAGCUAAUUGUUUUGUAUUUUUAGUUGAGAUGGGGUUUCACCAUGUUGGCCAGGCUGGUCUUGAACUCCUGACCUCAGGUGAUCCAUCCGCCUUGGCCUCCCAAAGUGCUAGGAUUACAGGUGUGAGCCACUGCUCCCGGCCUGUGUCUCGCUCCUUUCACUUAAUAUGAUGUUUUCAAGGUCUAUCCAUUUUGUAACAUUCUCAGUACGCCCUUCCUUUUUCUAGCUAAAUGAUAUUACACUGUAUGGAUAUACCAUAUUUUGUUUUUCCAUUCAUCAGUUGAUAAACAUUUGAGAUGUUUCCACUUUUUGGUUGUUAUGAAUAAUUCUGGGAAUAUUUGUAUACAAGCUUUUGUGUGUACAUAUGUUUUGGGUUCUCUUGGGUGCACCUAGGAGUGGAAUUGCUAGGUAAUACAGUAAAUGUAUGUUUAACAUUUUAGGAACUUCUGGACUGUUUUCCAAAGUGGCUGCACUAUUUUCUGUCCUCACUGGCAAAUGUAUGAGGAUUUUUAUUUCUCCACAUCCUUAUCAAUACUUUCUUGUCAAUACUUUUGAUCGGUGUCUCAUUGUGAUGUUAAUUUGCCUAGAUUGAGUGAUUUUUGGUGCAUUUGGUUUAGUUGGUUUCACUUCAUUUAACGAAUGCCUUUUUAGUGUCAUAAAAAUUAGGAGCUGAAAUGAAUAAUACAUAGUCCUUCCUUGCAAGGAGCUCAUGGUUCCUUCGGGAAGACAGACAGCAAACAGUGACAGUACAUCUUGUUAAGUUCUCCCUCUUGUUAAGAAGGGAGUCGAGGACAAGAUGCUCUGGGGAGCAGAGAAGAGGAACACUUAACCCUGCUUGAAGGGUGGGAAAACAUGUAAGAAUGGAGGCUCCCCCCUCCCUUGCAGGUGCCGCUCAAGAACCACUCUCUCCAAGAUGUUUUCCUGGAUUUCCUCAGCCUAAAAUAAUCCCUCUUUUUCCUGGGAGUGUUGGGCAGUGCUCAGAAGAGGUUUUUGGGGUCAGAGAUGUAAGGACUUCUUUGACUGGCUUCUCCCAACAGAAACAGAUUCCAGCUGCGGAGCAAGGGCCAUGCCAUCUGGAACAGAUGACCUCCAAGGACACCAUAGCAAAGAAAAGGAGAACUGGAAGCCCAUGUGCCUUAAUCCCCUCAUCCCAGAGGCCUCCCUGUUCCCUGAAAUACAACAAUAUUGAUAUUAAGCCAAUUAAUAACCCCACAGUUAUUUCUAAGUGUUUAAGUGAAAGGAAAAGUCACACAUAUCUCUCACCUUAA